UCUUGGCGGGCAAAUGCGGGAG
rnacentral:misc_RNA from 1 species